rnacentral:rRNA from 1 species
AUUGAACGCUGGCGGCAUGCCUUACACAUGCAAGUCGAACGGCAGCACGGGCUUCGGUCUGGUGGCGAGUGGCGGACGGGUGAGUAACGUAUCGGAACGUACCUUUCAGUGGGGGAUAACGUAGCGAAAGUUACGCUAAUACCGCAUGAGAACUGAGGUUGAAAGCAGGGGAUCGUAAGACCUUGCGCAACUGGAGCGGCCGAUGGCAGAUUAGGUAGUUGGUGGGAUAAAAGCUUACCAAGCCGACGAUCUGUAGCUGGUCUGAGAGGACGACCAGCCACACUGGGACUGAGACACGGCCCAGACUCCUACGGGAGGCAGCAGUGGGGAAUUUUGGACAAUGGGCGCAAGCCUGAUCCAGCAAUGCCGCGUGCAGGAUGAAGGCCUUCGGGUUGUAAACUGCUUUUGUACGGAACGAAAAGCCCUGGGUUAAUACCCUGGGGUCAUGACGGUACCGUAAGAAUAAGCACCGGCUAACUACGUGCCAGCCGCCGCUGUAACAC